GUGCCAGCCGCCGCGGUAAUACGAGGGGGGCAAGCGUUGUUCGGAAUUAUUGGGCGUAAAGGGUGCGUAGGCGGUUUGGUAAGUCUGAUGUGAAAUCUAUGGGCUCAACUCAUAGUCUGCAUCGGAAACUGCCGGGCUUGAGUAUGGGAGAGGUGAGUGGAAUUCCUGGUGUAGCGGUGAAAUGCGUAGAUAUCAGGAGGAACACCUGUGGCGAAAGCGGCUCACUGGACCAUAACUGACGCUGAUGCACGAAAGCUAGGGGAGCAAACAGGAUUAGAUACCCCCGUAGUCC
rnacentral:rRNA from 1 species